rnacentral:rRNA from 1 species
AUUGAACGCUGGCGGCAGGCUUAACACAUGCAAGUCGAGCGGAGAGAGGUAGCUUGCUACUGAUCUUAGCGGCGGACGGGUGAGUAAUGCUUAGGAAUCUGCCUAUUAGUGGGGGACAACAUUUCGAAAGGAAUGCUAAUACCGCAUACGUCCUACGGGAGAAAGCAGGGGAUCUUCGGACCUUGCGCUAAUAGAUGAGCCUAAGUCGGAUUAGCUAGUUGGUGGGGUAAAGGCCUACCAAGGCGACGAUCUGUAGCGGGUCUGAGAGGAUGAUCCGCCACACUGGGACUGAGACACGGCCCAGACUCCUACGGGAGGCAGCAGUGGGGAAUAUUGGACAAUGGGCGCAAGCCUGAUCCAGCCAUGCCGCGUGUGUGAAGAAGGCCUUAUGGUUGUAAAGCACUUUAGGCGAGGAGGAGGCUACUUUAGUUAAUACCUAGAGAUAGUGGACGUUACUCGCAGAAUAAGCACCGGCUAACUCUGUGCCAGCAGCCGCGGUAACAC